UUUUUUUUUUUUUGUCUUCUUUUUUUAGGGCCACACCCACAGCAUAUGGAGGCUCCCAGGCUAUGGACCCAAUCGGCCUACACCACAGCCACAGCAACAUGGGAUCCGAACCACGUCUGUGACCUACACCACAGCUCACAGCAACGCCAGAUCCUUAACCCACUGAGCGGGGCCAGGGAUUGAACCUGUGUCCUCAUGGAUACUAGUUGGGUUCAUUAACCACUGAGCCACAGUGGGAACUCCCAUCCUGCCCUACUUUUAUUGAAAACUCUCCACAAGCUUCCCAUCUCCUUUAGGGUAAAAUCCAAAGUCCUCGUAGGAACUCACAAAGCCCCACAAAGUCUGCACAGCCUCUGCCUCCAGAUCCCCUUUGACCUGUUCCCCUAUAACUUUCCCUGCUCCCUCUGUGGACACCCCUUUUGUCUUAGAGGUGCUUCCUUCAGUUGGCCUCAGGGCUCACUCUCUCCCUCCUGCUCCAGCUCCACUUCCUCAGAGAUACUGCUCCUCCCCUUCUCCUGCAGCCCUCGUCACUCCUCUUCCAAGCAAGUCUUGCUACUUGAUAGACUAUAUGGCAUAUUAAUUUUAUUAUCUGGCCCAACCCAGGAGACUGUAAGUUCUGAGAGAGCAAUGGCUUGUUUGAUUUCUGUGUCCCCAGCCCUUAGAACAGUGGCUGGAACAAGGUAAAUGCUCAAUAGGUUUUUGUUGCUUCAGUAAAUAAACAGCAGGUCCUUUGUUAAUCCUAGGGUAUAGGAGAGGAAAUGGAGAUUAAAAAUGUUUAAGACCUAUAUACACAUUGGAAUAUUACUCAGCCAUGAAAAAGAAUGAAAUCUUGCCAUUUGCGACAACAUGGAUAGACCUAGAGAGUGCAAUGCUAAGUGAAAUAAGUCAGGCAGAGAAAGACAAAUACUGUAUGAUUUCACCUAUAUGCGGCAUCUAAAAAAGGAAACAAACAAAGAAAACAAAACAGAUACAGACUCAAAGAUACAGAGAAACUGGUGGUUGCCAGAGGGGCAAAAAUAGGUGAAUGAGAUCCAGAGGUGCAGACUUCCAGUCAUUUAAUAAGUAAGUCGUGGGGAUGUAAUGCACAGGCUAAGGAAUAGAGUCAAUAACAUCAUAAUAACUUUGUAUGGUGACAGAUAGUUACUAGACCUAUCAUGGUGAUCAAUUUGCAAUAUAUACAUAUUACUCAGCCAUACAAAAGAAUGAAAUAAUACUACUUGCGGCUACAUGGAUGGACUUAGAGAUUAUCAUCAUAUUAAGGGAAGUAAUUCAGACAAAGAUAAAUAUCAUAUGAUAUCACUAUAUGUGGAAUCUAAAAAAAUGAUACAGGAGUUCCUGUUGUGGCUCAGUGGUAACGAACUCAACUAGUAUCCAUGAGGACAUGGGUUCAAUCCCCAGCCUCUCUCAGUGGGUUAAGGAUCGGGUGUAGCUGUGGUCUAGAUCAUAGACACGGCUCAGAUCUGGCAUUGCUGUGGCUGUGGUGUAGGCCAGCAGCUGCAGCUCCGAUUGGACCCCUAGCUUGGGACCUUCCAUAAGCCACAAAUGCAGGCCUAAAAAGCAAAAUAAAUAAAUAAAUAAAAAUUGUAAAAUGAUACAAACGGACUUAUUCACAAAGCAGAAACAGACUCACAGACAUAGAAAACAAACUCAUGGUACCAAAGAGGAAAGGUGGGAGGGAGGGAUAAACGAAGAGUUUGGGGUUAACAUAUGCACACUACUAUAUUCAAGAUAGAUAAUUAACAAGGACUUUCUGUAUCGCACAGGGAAUCUACCCAAUAUUCUAUAAUAACCUACAUAGGAAAAGAAUCUGAAAAAGAAUGGAUGUAUGUAUAUGUAUAACUGUACACUUUGCUGUACACCUGAAACUAAUGCAACACUGUAAAUCAACUAUACUCCAACAUAAAACAAAAAUUAAAGUUUAAAAAGUUGCAAUGGAUAUAAAUGUCAAAUCACUAUGUUAUACACCCGGAACUAAUAUUAUGUCAUCUAUACUUCAAUUUAAAAACUUAAAAUGAAAAAAUUAAACAUAAAGAAGUUACAAAAUUGUUUUAAAAAAAGAAAAAUGAUUAAGACCUUUAGAAGCUCCCAGCUUGGUACCUUUCCCCACAGGAAGGGUAUAUACUUUCAUAGGCCACAACAAAUAGUUUUAAUCAAAAAAGUAUAAUCAAGCAUACCAAAGAACUGGUUUUAUUGCUUUUGCUUGUCUGAACUUAAGACAUUGCCUUAUUCUUGGAGUUCCCGAUGUGGCGCAGUGGAAACAAAUCUGACCAGGAACCAUGAGGUUGCCGGUUCAAUCCCUGGCCUUGCUCAGUGUGUUGAGGAUCCGGCGUUGCCGUGAGCUGUGGUGUAAGUCGCAGAGGAGGCUCAGAAUCUGAGUUGCUGCGGCUGUGGUGUAGGCCAGUGGCUACAGCUCCAUUCAACCCCUAGCCUGGGAACUUCCAUAUGCUGCGGGUGCAGCCUUAAAAAGCAAAAAAAAAGAUAAUUACCUUAUUCUAGAAAUCUGACACAGAUCCAUUCGCUAUAACAAAUUCAGACGUAAACACACCUGAAUCCACGUAUAUUUUCCUCUCCCCUGUGAAUGGCAGAAUUCCACAUGGUCCCAUCUGGUCUUACAGACAGAUAGCAAAAGUUUCUUAGAUGCCUAAGUGACACCACCAACACCCCUGUUCAAGUGCCCCCUACCCUGGUUCAGGAGAACCUGAAAUUACAGAAUUUACAAUUCAUUGACCUCUGAAAGAAGCAAGUCACGCCCCAAGGAGAGCUGCAAACAAAAGCGUUCCUGAGCCAGAUUCCUUGUUGACACUAGUCUCUGGUUACACCUCAAGCCUAAAAAGGGAGGAAAUUCAGUCUUCAAAGCCAGUGCAUCCCCACUUUUGUCUGUCCACAGCAGAAUCCCUUCCCCCACCCCAUCCUCCCCAGGAGGCACACACUGGGAGCUCAAAAACACAAAUGCUGCCUGGGAAGGCAUUUUCAGGUUACACACAAGAUAAAUAUAUACAAAUAUAUCUCCAAAGUAACUUACAGCGCCUGGCUCAGGUUUCUUGCCUGCACAAGGGUUUAAAGCCUUAAACAAUGCCUCCCAAGCAUGCCCUCUUGUGAACCCCCUUUCCUGUGCAAAACCUCUUUUUGGCCCAGACCCCAGGAGUCACCUUUCAGAAGCAUGUGGCCACUCCCAGGGCACCCUCUUUCAGCCUCCUCACAGAGCCAAGACCUUUCCCAAGGGGCCAGGACGGGCCCAGAGGGGCAAGGCCACACGGCUGACACUGCAUGAGCGAUUACCUUGUCCCCGGAAUUCCAGAGAGGCCUUUCCUCGGACCUCACAGUGUCCUGGAGGGUGAGUCUCCUGGGUUUUCAGGCCUGGAGCAGAGGCCUGAAAGCACUGUCCCCAGCACAGACCAAAUGGACUUUUCACUUGUUCAGCCUGCCCUCUGUUCUCCAGGCCUCCCCGUCCUGCUCGGCCCAGGGUUCCACAGAGCACUGGACCAGGGGUGAGAGGCUGCAGUGCUUGUCACUCCCGCUCUGGACCGUCGGUUCUGUCUACACUAACCAAGUGCAUCAUUUUGACAGAGGCGAAGACGGAGGCCCAGAAGGUGGAGGCCAGUGUGCUGAAGGGCAAAGAGGCUGUUAGGGUCAGAGGUGGGGCAGGAGCCCCUGCCUUAGGGACCCAGACCAGCCUCCUCCUGUGGCACCAACCUCUUCACUUAGAUUCUUCAUUGUUCCUCUCUGCCCGCUCCUCUCUCUUGUCCUACUUUUGAAUCUUCCUUAGAGAGUUAUCUCUUCCAGGGCUUCCAUCCAAAGCCAGGCCAUCUUAGAAACUUCCCCCUUGCUCCACUUAGAAGCUCACAGCUCUGUUCCCUCAGCAUCCUCCGCUCAGUUGUGGGGUUCAGACCCCGGCUCCCUUCUUGCCUUCAUAUACGUAAAUAUAUUGUAAAACAGCUCUGAAGGCAUGUUCUAAAAGCGUGUGGAUGUCCAGCACCUCCCUGAUGGUCACAAAACAUCCCGUGAAGCCAUCUGGAAAAGUGGGUUAUUUUCUUCGUUGUCACAGAUGGAAGUGAACCAGGUAAGGGGCUUGUCCACUGUCACCAGUGGAUGAGUCAUGGAGCCCAGGAGUAAAGCUGUCAUCCCCCGUUUCUGCCUCUAAGGGUCUUUCAUACCCAGCCUCAUCUCUCUCCAUAGAGGGGUUCCCCCAACAUCAUCCUCACCCAACUUUUUUCCUCUAUCCAUUCAUUCCCUUGGACUCUGACAUCUGUCAACUUCCAAAGCUCCAAAUGUAUGUAUCUCUCUUUUUUCCUAGACAUCCUCACACUUGGGUGACACCUAAGGAGCCCUGCACCUUCCUCCGUCUGGCUUCCUCGCUUGACAUAGCGUGAUGUCGGGGGGUCAGGGUUAAGAGUCGGAAAUCAGACAGGCCCUGAUCCGCAUCUCGGCUCUGCCUCUUACCUGCAGGGUGACAUUAGUCAGGUUACUGAACCUCGGAGAGCCUCGGUCUCUUCAUCUGUACCCUGAGAGUGUGACUAUCUCAUGCGGCCACUGUGAGGAUGAAACGAGGACAUUGUGGCCCAUGGUAAGUACUCAGGUUAACAGUAGCCAUCAUCUGCCUUAGCAUCAGUGUCUCAGUCUCUCUUCCCUGAGAUGAGAGUGGUCUCCUAAGCAUCCCCUGGUCCCCAAGUAUGCGGCCCCCCACAUCCCCUCCCCUCUUCCAUCCCCCACCUCAGCCUCCCAUCCAGGCUGUCUCCAGGUGACCCUUCACAAACACACAUGCCUAGAAAAAAAGGAAAUUCUAAAGGAAUUUUUGCUUCCAUACAAAUAGAAGCAAAAGAAUACAAAGUAAUUAAUCAAUUCGUUUUUAAAACUGAAAUUUUACUCCACACUCCCAUUCCUCACCCCCUUCCAAAACAAACAAACAAACAAACAAACAAACAAAAACCGUUUGUAAAUUCUGACCGGAUUUGUCAUUAGGAAAUGUAUCACUCCCCAGAUAAAGCAGUUUUCCACCAAAUCUUCAAGAAGCAGACUGGGCUCUAUCUCUAUCAAGCUGCUCAACAGUCCCC
rnacentral:lncRNA from 1 species